AAUAGAUACCCCGGUAGUCCACGCCGUAAACGAUGGGUACUAGGUGUAGGAGGGUCCAACCUUCUGUGCCGCCGUUAACACAAUAAGUACCCCGCCUGGGGAGUACGGUCGCAAGAUUAAAACUCAAAGGAAUUGACGGGGGCCCGCACAAGCAGCGGAGCAUGUGGUUUAAUUCGAAGCAACGCGAAGAACCUUACCUAGACUUGACAUCUCCUGAAUUACUCGUAAUGGAGGAAGCCCUUCGGGGCAGGAAGACAGGUGGUGCAUGGUUGUCGUCAGCUCGUGUCGUGAGAUGUUGGGUUAAGUCCCGCAACGAGCGCAACCCUUAUCAUUAGUUGCUACCAUUAAGUUGAGCACUCUAGUGAGACUGCCCGGGUUAACCGGGAGGAAGGUGGGGAUGACGUCAAAUCAUCAUGCCCCUUAUGUCUAGGGCUACACACGUGCUACAAUGGUAGGUACAACAAGAUGCAAGACCGCGAGGUGGAGCAAAACUGUAAAACCUAUCUCAGUUCGGAUUGUAGGCUGAAACUCGCCUACAUGAAGCCGGAGUUG
rnacentral:rRNA from 1 species